AAGAAAUUUUGGUCUUCAGAUAUUUAAAAUGUCAUCUUAAUCAUCUUAUAAAAACUUUUUCAGUUUUUGUCAAUACUUUUUUUGAUCUUCUGACAAAUACAUAUGUAAAAAAAAAAACAUUUUUCUAAACAUACUAGCAAAGGCAACAGUUCCAAGAAUCAGUUAUCUCAAUCGAGCGAACGGAAUCCUGACAGCUUCGAACAGUUUUGCAUAGAAUUUGGAUUAUUUUACUAAGGAGUCACCUAUUUCCGUCCAGAAUUCUUUCGUUGGAGAUGAAGUGAUUCGACUUAUGGAAGUUCGACUGCAUACAUACAUAAUACAUAUGCAUAUAGAAGCAGAACAACUAUUCGUUUCCGGUGGGUAGACGGUCCGUAAUGUGGGACGCCGACACCAUUCCAAAGCCAAUUGACGUCACAAGCGACACAACAAACAGCAACAACCUGGCACAACGUUUUCUGGGUUACAACAGCUCACGGAUGUCGGAAUGCAUCGAAAAAAAAAAACGAGAAAGAAACCAAGAGUCACCGAAUGGCAGGUUGACUCAGUAGAGAUUUGGUCAAUCAAUCGACUUGGUUCCACACAAUACAGUGGGACUCGAAUGUCACAGGUCCAACUGUACAAUACCCAGAAGAUGAUGAUGAUGAUGGGGGAUGGGAUCAGAUCGGAUGGGAUGGGGCGAAAUGUUAAUGGAUUGCCCUAGGACCUGCCCUCAUUCCGUUUGCCAUCUUUGUCGCUUCUCUGCUGCACUUGUGCAUUCCCCCCAUGAAGUUGUGUGUGUGCUUCUUUGCCACCACCUUCUUGCCCCUUUUUGCGGUGUUCUGUUCCUUUUGUUGAUGUUACAAUUGUUGCACUUGUUGUGUGCGGUUUAGGACAUUGAACCACAGCCGACAGAAAUGCAGAACUGCACGCAACUGAAUGGCAAGUGUACAGCUGUGGUCAAAGAAUUAGCAAUGCAUUAUGUGGGGUUUCCCUAAUACAAUAUUCUGAAAGCUCCAUUCAAGUGGCAUUUCCAUUUCUAUAGUAUAUUUGCAAAUUACAAGGUUUCUCUUCUUUCUGAAUUUAAAAUAAACCUCUUCCUUUAACAUUGGAAGAUAGUCAAUAUUUUGAACCAAA